rnacentral:rRNA from 1 species
GUGUCAGCCGCCGCGGUAAUACGUAGGGGGCUAGCGUUGUCCGGAUUUAUUGGGCGUAAAGCGCGUGUAGGCGGCCAGGUAGGUCCGUUGUGAAAGCUCGAGGCUCAACCUCGAGACGCCGGCGGAAACCAUCUGGCUAGAGUCCGGAAGAGGAGAGUGGAAUUCCCGGUGUAGCGGUGAAAUGCGCAGAUAUCGGGAAGAACACCCGUGGCGAAGGCGGCUCUCUGGGACGGUACUGACGCUGAGACGCGAAAGCGUGGGGAGCGAACAGGAUUAGAUACCCGAGUAGUCC